rnacentral:rRNA from 1 species
GGUUAAGCGACUAAGCGUACACGGUGGAUGCCCUGGCAGUCAGAGGCGAUGAAGGACGUGCUAAUCUGCGAAAAGCGUCGGUAAGGUGAUAUGAACCGUUAUAACCGGCGAUGUCCGAAUGGGGAAACCCAGUGCAAUUCGUUGCACUAUCGUUAACUGAAUACAUAGGUUAACGAGGCGAACCGGGGGAACUGAAACAUCUAAGUACCCCGAGGAAAAGAAAUCAACCGAGAUUCCCCCAGUAGCGGCGAGCGAACGGGGAGCAGCCCAGAGUCUGAAUCAGCUUGUGUGUUAGUGGAACGGUCUGGAAAGUCCGACGGUACAGGGUGAUAGUCCCGUACACCAAAAUGCACAGGCUGUGAACUCGAAGAGUAGGGCGGGACACGUGGUAUCCUGUCUGAAUAUGGGGGGACCAUCCUCCAAGGCUAAAUACUCCUGACUGACCGAUAGUGAACCAGUACCGUGAGGGAAAGGCGAAAAGAACCCCGGCGAGGGGAGUGAAAAAGAACCUGAAACCGUGUACGUACAAGCAGUGGGAGCACCUUCGGGUGUGACUGCGUACCUUUUGUAUAAUGGGUCAGCGACUUAUAUUCUGUAGCAAGGUUAACCGUAUAGGGGAGCCGCAGGGAAACCGAGUCUUAACUGGGCGUUAAGUUGCAGGGUAUAGACCCGAAACCCGGUGAUCUAGCCAUGGGCAGGUUGAAGGUUGGGUAACACUAACUGGAGGACCGAACCGACUAAUGUUGAAAAAUUAGCGGAUGACUUGUGGCUGGGGGUGAAAGGCCAAUCAAACCGGGAGAUAGCUGGUUCUCCCCGAAAGCUAUUUAGGUAGCGCCUCGUGAAUUCAUCUUCGGGGGUAGAGCACUGUUUCGGCUAGGGGGUCAUCCCGACUUACCAACCCGAUGCAAACUACGAAUACCGAAGAAUGUUAUCACGGGAGACACACGGCGGGUGCUAACGUCCGUCGUGAAGAGGGAAACAACCCAGACCGCCAGCUAAGGUCCCAAAGUCAUGGUUAAGUGGGAAACGAUGUGGGAAGGCACAGACAGCCAGGAUGUUGGCUUAGAAGCAGCCAUCAUUUAAAGAAAGCGUAAUAGCUCACUGGUCGAGUCGGCCUGCGCGGAAGAUGUAACGGGGCUAAACCAUGCACCGAAGCUGCGGCAGCGACACUAUGUGUUGUUGGGUAGGGGAGCGUUCUGUAAGCCUGCGAAGGUGACCUGUGAGGGUUGCUGGAGGUAUCAGAAGUGCGAAUGCUGACAUAAGUAACGAUAAAGCGGGUGAAAAGCCCGCUCGCCGGAAGACCAAGGGUUCCUGUCCAACGUUAAUCGGGGCAGGGUGAGUCGACCCCUAAGGCGAGGCCGAAAGGCGUAGUCGAUGGGAAACAGGUUAAUAUUCCUGUACUUGGUGUUACUGCGAAGGGGGGACGGAGAAGGCUAUGUUAGCCGGGCGACGGUUGUCCCGGUUUAAGCAUGUAGGCUGGUUAUCCAGGCAAAUCCGGAUAAUCAAGGCUGAGGUGUGAUGACGAGGCACUACGGUGCUGAAGUAACAAAUGCCCUGCUUCCAGGAAAAGCCUCUAAGCAUCAGGUAACAUCAAAUCGUACCCCAAACCGACACAGGUGGUCAGGUAGAGAAUACCAAGGCGCUUGAGAGAACUCGGGUGAAGGAACUAGGCAAAAUGGUGCCGUAACUUCGGGAGAAGGCACGCUGGUGUGUAGGUGAAGCCCCUGCGGGUGGAGCUGAGACCAGUCGAAGAUACCAGCUGGCUGCAACUGUUUAUUAAAAACACAGCACUGUGCAAACACGAAAGUGGACGUAUACGGUGUGACGCCUGCCCGGUGCCGGAAGGUUAAUUGAUGGGGUUAUCCGUAAGGAGAAGCUCUUGAUCGAAGCCCCGGUAAACGGCGGCCGUAACUAUAACGGUCCUAAGGUAGCGAAAUUCCUUGUCGGGUAAGUUCCGACCUGCACGAAUGGCGUAAUGAUGGCCAGGCUGUCUCCACCCGAGACUCAGUGAAAUUGAACUCGCUGUGAAGAUGCAGUGUACCCGCGGCAAGACGGAAAGACCCCGUGAACCUUUACUAUAGCUUGACACUGAACAUUGAGCCUUGAUGUGUAGGAUAGGUGGGAGGCUUUGAAGCGUGGACGCCAGUCUGCGUGGAGCCAACCUUGAAAUACCACCCUUUAAUGUUUGAUGUUCUAACGUUGGCCCCUGACCGGGGUUGCGGACAGUGUCUGGUGGGUAGUUUGACUGGGGCGGUCUCCUCCCAAAGCGUAACGGAGGAGCACGAAGGUUAGCUAAUCCUGGUCGGACAUCAGGAGGUUAGUGCAAUGGCAUAAGCUAGCUUGACUGCGAGCGUGACGGCGCGAGCAGGUGCGAAAGCAGGUCAUAGUGAUCCGGUGGUUCUGAAUGGAAGGGCCAUCGCUCAACGGAUAAAAGGUACUCCGGGGAUAACAGGCUGAUACCGCCCAAGAGUUCAUAUCGACGGCGGUGUUUGGCACCUCGAUGUCGGCUCAUCACAUCCUGGGGCUGAAGUAGGUCCCAAGGGUAUGGCUGUUCGCCAUUUAAAGUGGUACGCGAGCUGGGUUUAGAACGUCGUGAGACAGUUCGGUCCCUAUCUGCCGUGGGCGCUGGAGAAUUGAGGGGGGCUGCUCCUAGUACGAGAGGACCGGAGUGGACGCAUCACUGGUGUUCGGGUUGUCAUGCCAAUGGCACUGCCCGGUAGCUAAAUGCGGAAGAGAUAAGUGCUGAAAGCAUCUAAGCACGAAACUUGCCCCGAGAUGAGUUCUCCCUGAGACUUUAAGUCUCCUGAAGGAACGUUGAAGACGACGACGUUGAUAGGCCGGGUGUGUAAGCGCAGCGAUGCGUUGAGCUAACCGGUACUAAUGAACCGUGAGGCUUAACCUU